GCUAUCAGAAGGACGAGGCUCGGGUGACUGGAGACUGCGGGGCUCACGGUUCGUGUCGCUACCAGUCCGCUGACAUGGCGCAUCAAUCAACGGUGACCAGGUGAUGCAGACAGGCUGGACCAGAGAGUGAGAGACAGAACUGGACUCCUCACAGCAGUGAACUUCAGCACAGGAAAGGACAUGCCUGAAAGACACGACAUCUUCUCCUUCUCUGAGGGUCAAGAAGAACAUCCAAGAGGAACAUUAAAAGCUGAUGUUAUGAGAUGUUAAGACCAGUACAGGACAUUCACUAAGAAACUACUUUUAUUGUGAACAAAAAAAUCUGCACACCGAAUAUUUUUGUAGUCUAUCAGGACCAUCAUUUGUUUGUGACGCUGCCUGCACCUCAGAGAAGGGGUGGUUAUAGUCAGGCUUAUAAAGUGUGGCGAAAAACAUAGUCAGCUGAUGGGAUGCAUCUAUUUCCACAUCUACACUCCACCAGCUGAUUAUUUCUAUUUGUCUCGCUUUAUGAGCUUCACAUCACCUGUGCCUUGUACCGCAGAGUUUGCAACG